rnacentral:rRNA from 1 species
GACGAACGCUGGCGGCAUGCCUUACACAUGCAAGUCGAACGGCAGCACGGGGGCAACCCUGGUGGCGAGUGGCGAACGGGUGAGUAAUGCAUCGGAACGUACCCGGAAGUGGGGGAUAACGUAGCGAAAGUUACGCUAAUACCGCAUAUUCUGUGAGCAGGAAAGCAGGGGAACGCAAGCACUUGCGCUUUCGGAGCGGCCUAUGUCGGGUUAGCUAGUUGGUGAGGUAAAGGCUUACCAAGGCGACGAUCCGUAGCUGGUCUUAGAGGAUGAUCAGCCACACUGGGACUGAGACACGGCCCAGACUCCUACGGGAGGCAGCAGUGGGGAAUUUUGGACAAUGGGGGAAACCCUGAUCCAGCCAUGCCGCGUGAGUGAAGAAGGCCCUCGGGUUGUAAAGCUCUUCCGGACAGAAAGAAAUCGCCAUCUCUAAUACAGGUGGUGGAUGACGGUACUGUAAGAAGAAGCACCGGCUAACUACGUGCCAGCAGCCGCCGUAA